AGUAAAAGUCGUAACAAGGUUUCCGUAGGUGAACCUGCGGAAGGAUCAUUACUGAGUGAGGGCCCUCUGGGUCCAACCUCCCACCCGUGUUUAUUGUACCUUGUUGCUUCGGCAGGCCCGCCUUACGGCCGCCGGGGGGCUUCUGCCCCCGGGCCCGCGCCUGCCGGAGACAAUCUUGAACGCUGUCUGAAGAAUGCAGUCUGAGCGAUUAAGCAAAAUUAGUUAAAACUUUCAACAGCGGAUCUCUUGGUUCCGGCAUCGAUGAAGAACGCAGCGAAAUGCGAUAAUUAAUGUGAAUUGCAGAAUUCAAUGAAUCAUCGAGUCUUUGAACGCACAUUGCGCCCCCUGGUAUUCCGGGGGGCAUGCCUGUCCGAGCGUCAUUGCUGCCCUCAAGCACGGCUUGUUUGUUGGGUCUUGUUCCCCCGGGAACAGGCCCGAAAGGCAGUGGCGGCACCGUCCGAUCCUCGAGCGUAUGGGGCUUUGUCACCCGCUCUGUAGGCCCGGCCGGCGCUUGCCGACCCCAAUCAAUCUUUUUCAGGUUGACCUCGGAUCAGGUAGGGAUACCCGCUGAACUUAAGCAUAUCAAUAAGCGGAGGA
rnacentral:rRNA from 1 species